GACCAACCCUUAAAGACUGCUGCAUCUUUAGGAUAUUCUAGUCCAACAUCGAGGUCACAAACUCUCUUUUCGAUAAGGACUCUCAAAGAGAAUUAUGCUGUUAUCCCUAUGGUAACUAAUUUCAUUGAUCAAAAUUUCUGGAUCAACACUUGUAAGUCUUAUUGAUUAAUAAAGAAGCUUUGUUUGUUCCAUAGUCGCCCCAACCAAAAUCUAAAAUAGAUUAAUAUUUAAAAUUAUAUAUUAUUUUCAAUUUAUUUUUUUAAAGCUCAAUAGGGUCUUCUUGUCUUUCAAUUAAAUCUAGGUUUCCUCACCUAGAAAUCAAAUUCUAAAAAAUUACAUAGAGACAGCUUUGUUCACGUCAAACCAUUCAUACUAGCCCUCAAUUAUAGGGCAAAUGAUUAUGCUACCUUUGCACGGUCAGAGUACCGCGGCCGUUAAAAUAUAUUCACUGGGCAGGUCCGACUC
rnacentral:rRNA from 1 species